CCUACGGGAGGCAGCAGUGAGGAAUAUUGGGCAAUGCCCGCAAGGGUGACCCAGCAACGCCGCGUGGAGGAUGAAUGCCGUAAGGUUGUAAACUCCUGUUAGAGGGGAAGAAUAAUUCCGAUUGCAUCGGAACUUGACUGUACCCUCAGAGAAAGCCCCGGC
rnacentral:rRNA from 1 species